AUGGAUCCCUUCUUCCUCCUCCUCCUCCUAUUCGGUCAAAUCCUGCUCUGCACAGCCGGCGACACCAUCAACUCCGCCACACCCUUGUCCGGGUCACAGAAGAUCGUAUCCCAGGGAAACAAGUUCGCCGUGGGCUUCUACUCCCCAUCGCAGAGUAACACCACCUCUUCCACCUCCAGCAAUUACUACAUAGCCAUAUGGUACAACAACAUACGACUGCUGACCACAGUGUGGAACACCAACAUGACGGUGUCUGACCCGGCCACCGCCUCCUUGGAAAUCGCCAGCGACGGCAACCUUGUCCUCCUUGAUCAAGCCAAGAACCGGCAGCUAUGGUCAACUGAUGUAAGUAUAGCCUCCAACUCCACCAUGGCCAUCAUCAGGGACAGCGGUAGCCUCGAUCUUAUCGAUGUCUCCAAUUCAUCGAUAGUUUACUGGCGAAGCAUAGACCAUCCCACAAACACCUGGCUUCCGGGGGGCAAGCUCGGGCUGAACAAGACCACGGGUCUGAGCCAGAGGCUUAUUCCUUGGAAGAACAACGCAGACCCAUCUCCUGGGUUGUUCUCUCUGGAGCUAGAUCCCAAUGGCACAAAACAGUACUUCAUCCAGUGGAAUGAAUCCAUAAACUACUGGACCAGUGGCCCCUGGAAUGGCAAUAUCUUCAGCCUCGUGCCAGAGAUGACGGCUAAUUUCAGAUACGACUUCCAAUUCGUCGACAAUGCCACAGAAAGCUAUUUCUACUACUCGAUGAAGGAUGAUGCAGUCAUCUCGCGGUUCAUCAUGGACGUGACCCUCCAUUGCAGUGAUUGGGAUCUUCAGGAUUACAGUGGCGGGUGCAGGAGGAAUGUACCAUUGCAGUGCCAGAUCAACUCGAGCUCCGGACAGACCAAGCCUGAUAAGUUCUUUCCCAUGGCAAGCGUGAGGCUACCUGACAAUGCUCGGGGUGCAGUGGGCGCCAGCUUGAAAGAAUGUGAGCAGGUUUGUCUGAAAAGCUGUUCAUGCGAUGCUUACACUUACAAUACAACUGGCUGUUUUAUUUGGUCUGGGGACCUGGUGAACCUCCAAGAACAGUACAGUGGAAAUGGAGUUGGCACACUCUUCCUCAGACUUGCAGCAUCCGAGCUGCAAGACCCAAAAAAGAGCAAGGCUGUGAUCAUUGGUGCAGUUGCUGGCGGGGUUGCUGCAAUUCUGAUAAUCCUUGCGAUUGUGUUUUUCUUCCUAUAUCAGAAAUUUCGGCGAGAAAGGACUCAUCGGAUAUCAAAGACUGGUGGGGGCACAUUGAUUGCUUUCAGGUACAGUGAUCUGCAGCAUGUCACCAGAAACUUCUCAGAGAAGCUGGGGGGAGGUGCCUUCGGUUCGGUGUUCAAGGGGAAGCUCCCAGAUUCAACGGCCAUUGCUGUGAAGAGGCUCGAUGGUUUUCAUCAAGGGGAGAAGCAAUUCCGUGCUGAGGUAAGCACGAUUGGGACAACCCAGCAUGUUAAUUUGGUCCGCCUUAUUGGGUUCUGUUCUGAAGGGUCAAGGAGGCUGCUUGUGUAUGAGUACAUGCAAAAGGGCUCCCUGGAAGUGCAACUCUUCCCUGGUGAGACAACUGCAUUGAGCUGGGCCAUUAGGUACCAAAUUGCACUUGGAACAGCAAGGGGCCUAAACUACCUGCAUGAAAAAUGUAGGGAUUGCAUCAUACACUGUGAUGUCAAGCCAGAUAACAUUCUCUUGGAUGAUUCCUUUGUACCAAAAGUAUCCGACUUUGGCCUAGCAAAGCUCUUAGGCCGGGACUUCAGCCGUGUUUUAACGACGAUGAGAGGAACAAGGGGUUACCUUGCACCUGAAUGGAUCAGUGGCGUGCCCAUAACCGCGAAGGCAGAUGUAUUCAGCUAUGGCAUGAUGCUCCUUGAAAUCAUAUCAGGCAGGAGGAAUUCUGACCAUGGAGAGGAGGGCAGGUCCACUUUCUUCCCAACCUUGGCUGCAAGCAAGCUCCAUGAAGGGGAUGUGCAGACCUUGUUGGACCCUAGGCUGAAAGGAGAUGCAAAUCCUGACGAGCUCACAAGAGCUUGUAAGGUUGCUUGUUGGUGCAUCCAAGAUGAUGAAAGCACUAGACCCACGACGGGUCAGAUCGUCCAAAUCCUAGAGGGGUUUCUGGAUGUGAAUAUGCCUCCCGUUCCCAGGUCACUGAGAGCUCUUGGUGAAAGCCCUGAUGUCAUAAACUUCUUCUCAGAUCUGUCUUCAAGCCAGACUUCCCUGACGCAAAACAGCACAACAACUUCUCAGACACACAGUGCUACUUCAGGCAAUUCACAUUUCCAAAGUUCGUAA
rnacentral:rRNA from 1 species